GAUGAACGCUGGCGGCAUGCCUAAUACAUGCAAGUCGAACGAGAGGAAGGAAAGCUUGCUUUCCUGAAUCUAGUGGCGAACGGGUGAGUAACACGUAAGUAACCUGCCCAUGUGCAUGGGAUAACUUCUGGAAGCGGAUGCUAAAACCGGAUAGGUAGCAGACAAGCAUUUGACUGCUAUUAAAGUGGCCUUGGCCAUGAACAUGGAUGGACCUGCGGUGCAUUAGCUGGUUGGUGAGGUAACGGCCCACCGAGGCGACGAUGCAUAGCCGGCCUGAGAAGGCGGACGGCCACAUUGGGACUGAGACACGGCCCAAACUCCUACGGGAGGCAGCAGUAGGGAAUUUUCGUCAAUGGGGGGAACCCUGAACGAGCAAUGCCGCGUGAGUGAGGAAGGUCUUCGGAUCGUAAAGCUCUGUUGUAAGAGAAAAACGGCACUCAUAGGGAAUGAUGAGUGAGUGAUGGUAUCUUACCAGAAAGUCACGGCUAACUACGUGCCAGCAGCCGCAGUAA
rnacentral:rRNA from 1 species